GCCGAAGUGGUGGAAUUGGUAGACACGCUGUCUUGAGGGGGCAGUGGAAAAUCCGUAUCGGUUCGAGUCCGGUCUUCGGCACCA
rnacentral:tRNA from 1 species